rnacentral:rRNA from 1 species
GACGAACGCUGGCGGCGUGCUUAACACAUGCAAGUCGAACGGAAAGGCCCUGCUUUUGUGGGGUGCUCGAGUGGCGAACGGGUGAGUAACACGUGGGUAACCUGCCCUUGACUUUGGGAUAACUUCAGGAAACUGGGGCUAAUACCGGAUAGGAGCUCCUGCUGCAUGGUGGGGGUUGGAAAGUUUCGGCGGUUGGGGAUGGACUCGCGGCUUAUCAGCUUGUUGGUGGGGUAGUGGCUUACCAAGGCUUUGACGGGUAGCCGGCCUGAGAGGGUGACCGGGCACAUUGGGACUGAGAGACGGCCCAGACUCCUACGGGAGGCAGCAGUGGGGAAUAUUGCACAAUGGGCGGAAGCCUGAGGCAGCAACGCCGCGUGCGGGAUGACGGCCUUCGGGGUGUAAACCGCUUUCGCCUGAGACGAAGCGGGAGUGACGGUAAUGGGUAAAGAAGCACCGGCUAACUACGUG